UGUAGCUCUGUGAUAGAGUACUUGCCUACUUUGCAUGAGGCCCUGGGUUUAAUUCCCAGCA
rnacentral:tRNA from 1 species